AAGCACCGCCAUUGGCCGGUGCGUGCAGGUGGCAGCCAAGAGCCUCCUGGCACAGCGGCACCAGGCAGGUGGCGCCUAUUGGACCCCAGAGGUCAUCCCAGCUCCAGACGUGGGCACAUUUUCUUCCAAUGAUGUCUACAGAUGAGGAAACUGAGGCCUGGAGAGGUUAAAGAGACCCGUUCAGAGUCCUACAGUGGCAGACUGGUCUUCUGAGGACCUCUGCCCUCUACACAGCAGCCUCUUCAGGUGCAGGGAGGAAAUGGAAGCACGUUCUAUGCUGGUUCCACCCCAGAGAGGCAGUGGGUGAGGAUCUGCUAGUGGAGUUCCUAUCAUUUCCAGUGUAGAAAUCAGGACCACUGCUGUGACUGGCAAGAGGCAUCUGUGUGCUUCGAGGAUGUGGCUAUGGCAUUCACACAGGAGGAGUGGGAACACCUGGACCUGGCCCAGAGGACACUGUACCGAGAGGUGACACUGGAGACCUGGGAGCAUAUUGUCUCCCUGGCUGGAGCAAGAAGAGGACCUGUGCAGGGCAGAGCAGGAGGCCCCCCGAGGUAAGAGCAGACCUUGUGGUGA
rnacentral:sRNA from 1 species